AUUGAACGCUGGCGGCAUGCCUUACACAUGCAAGUCGAACGGUAACAGGUUAAGCUGACGAGUGGCGAACGGGUGAGUAAUGUAUCGGAACGUGCCCAGUCGUGGGGGAUAACUGCUCGAAAGAGCAGCUAAUACCGCAUACGACCAGAGGGUGAAAGCGGGGGAUGGCAAGACCUCGCGCGAUUGGAGCGGCCGAUAUCAGAUUAGGUAGUUGGUGAGGUAAAGGCUCACCAAGCCGACGAUCUGUAGCUGGUCUGAGAGGACGACCAGCCACACUGGGACUGAGACACGGCCCAGACUCCUACGGGAGGCAGCAGUGGGGAAUUUUGGACAAUGGGCGCAAGCCUGAUCCAGCCAUGCCGCGUGCGGGAAGAAGGCCUUCGGGUUGUAAACCGCUUUUGUCAGGGAAGAAAAGGUUCUGGCUAAUACCUGGGACUCAUGACGGUACCUGAAGAAUAAGCACCGGCUAACUACGUG
rnacentral:rRNA from 1 species